rnacentral:rRNA from 1 species
GGGCUCACACAAGCGGUGGAGUAUGUGGCUUAAUUCGAGGCUACGCGCAAAACCUUAUCCCAGGCUUGACAUGCACGGAUUAGCCGGCGGAAACGUCGGUGAGGCCGCAAGGUACAACGUGCACAGGUGCUGCAUGGCUGUCGUCAGCUCGUGCCGUGAGGUGUUGGGUUAAGUCCCCUAACGAGCGAAACCCCUGUGUCUAGUUGCCAGCGCGUCAUGGCGGGAACUCUAGACAGACCGCCGGCGUUAAGCCGGAGGAAGGCGGGGAUGACGUCAAGUCCUCAUGGCCCUUAUGCCUGGGGCUGCACACGUACUACAAUGGGGCGGACAGAGCGUCGCAAGGCCGCAAGGCCAAGCUAAUCGCAAAAACCGCUCCCCAGUUCGGAUUGCGGGCUGCAACCCGCCCGCAUGAAGCCGGAAUCGCUAGUAAUCGCGGAUCAGCAUGCCGCGGUGAAUGUGUUCCUGAGCCUU